GAUGAACGCUGGCGGCGUGCCUAAUACAUGCAAGUCGAGCGAAGCGGGGACGGGUGAGUAACACGUGGAUAACCUCCUAUACGACUGGGAUAACUUCGGGAAACCGGAGCUAAACCGGAUACUCAGAGAUGGAUCCGCGCUGCAUUAGCUAGUUGGUAAGGUAACGGCGUACCAAGGCCACAAUGCAUAGCCGACCGGAGAGGGGGAUCGGCCACACUGGAACUGAGACACGGUCCAGACUCCGACGGGAGGCAGCAGUAGGGAAUCUUCCGCAAUGGGCGAAAGCCUGACGGAGCAACGCCGCGUGAGUGAUGAAGGUCUUCGGAUCGUAAAACUCUGUUAUUAGGGAAGCGGUACCUAAUCAGAAAGCCACGGCUAACUACGUGCCAGCCGCCGCGGUAAUAC
rnacentral:rRNA from 1 species